rnacentral:rRNA from 1 species
UACAGAGGGAGCAAGCGUUGUUCGGAAUUACUGGGCGUAAAGGGCGCGUAGGCGGUUCGAUAAGUCCCGUGUGAAAUCCCUCGGCUCAACUGAGGAAUGGCACGGGAAACUGACGGGCUUGAGUUCGGGAGAGGGAAGCGGAAUUCCGGGUGUAGCGGUGAAAUGCGUAGAUAUCAGGAGGAACACCGGUGGUGUAGACGGCUUUCUGGACCGUAACUGACGCUGAGACACGAAAGCGUGGGUAGCAAACAGG